rnacentral:misc_RNA from 1 species
AACGCAAAUGGCGCUUCCUGGCAUCCCGGGAAGCAUGCCUGUUUGAGAACCGUAGACCAACCUCACCAGUCCGGCGUCCAUAUCCCGAACCGGGAAGGAUAUCCCCUCUGGUGGUUCUGGGUCACAGGCAGCAGACGAGACGUCCUCCUCCCGUUUGUCGCUCGUGGUCCGCAAACCUUUUGACCCGCGGGGCUGAUGGUCCCGGAUUUCCCAAGGCAAAGGUCAACGCGGAGAGACCAAAAACCGCGGAAUCUCGAAAGUGGAUUUUGCUUCUUUUGGCGAUCCGGUGUUUAUCUGGGAAAAAAGAGACCCGGCCAUCCUUGCGCGGGGGACCACCCAAAAAAAAAAAACAAACAAACAAAACUUGGUCUCAAGUCAGGCAAGAGAACCCGCUGAACUUAA